CUUGACCUUCUUCUUCAGGUGCCUUACACAGUCCACCAACGCAUGAAUGGUCUUGUCUUGCCACUUACACCACUUUUGGAGAGUGUUCACUCGCAAAUACAGCUUCUUGGUGUGGUAUUCAGGCUCACACCACACGUAUGGAUCAAAAUGAUAUCGGCCUGCUCCCAUCCUUCUCUCAGGGUGCCGUUCUUCUUCAUUCUCACAUCCGGCCGGGCCGUUCUCGUUCUGCGGCUUGUUAGGUAUGGCCUUGGUGCACUUGCGCAUUGGUGGGCCGAGAGAGGGGUUGUACAACUGAUCCUUGAGGACAUAGAAGGAGAUGUUACACUGCUUAUCAAGCAUGGUGAGG
rnacentral:lncRNA from 1 species